ACUCCUACGGGAGGCAGCAGUGGGGAAUAUUGCACAAUGGGCGCAAGCCUGAUGCAGCAACGCCGCGUGAGGGAUGACGGCCUUCGGGUUGUAAACCUCUUUUAGUAGGGAAGAAGCGAAAGUGACGGUACCUGCAGAAAAAGCACCGGCUAACUACGUGCCAGCAGCCGCGGUAAUAC
rnacentral:rRNA from 1 species